UACGUAGGUGGCAAGCGUUGUCCGGAUUUACUGGGCGUAAAGAGCGCGCAGGCGGUCGUUCAAGUCGCGUGUGAAAGCCCCCGGCUCAACUGGGGAGGGUCACGCGAUACUGAUCGACUCGAAGGCAGGAGAGGGAAGUGGAAUUCCCGGUGUAGUGGUGAAAUGCGUAGAUAUCGGGAGGAACACCAGUGGCGAAGGCGACUACCUGGCCUGUUCUUGACGCUGAGGCGCGAAAGCUAGGGGAGCAAACGGG
rnacentral:rRNA from 1 species